GAAUAAUAUAGCUCAGUGGUAGAGCAUUCGACGACUGAUCGAGAGGUCCCCGGUUAAAACCCGGGUGCCCCCUUCUUCA